GGUCUUGUAGUGUAGUGGUUAUCACUCGGGAUUUUGAUCACCUACUGUGUUAUCAGAUGUGAAACUUCCCGAAACCCAGGUUCGAACCCUGGCAAGACCU